rnacentral:rRNA from 1 species
GAUGAACGCUGGCGGCGUGCCUAACACAUGCAAGUCGAGCGGAGAUACUUGAGGGAAGUUUUCGGAUGGAAUUUGAGUAUUUUAGCGGCGGACGGGUGAGUAACGCGUGAGUGACCUGCCUUCCACAGGGGGAUAACGUACCGAAAGGUACACUAAUACCGCAUGAGACCACAGCACUGCCUGGUGCAGGGGUCAAAGGAGCAAUCCGGUGGAAGAUGGACUCGCGUCCGAUUAGAUAGUUGGUGGGGUAACGGCCUACCAAGUCAGCGAUCGGUAGCCGACCUGAGAGGGUGAUCGGCCACAUUGGAACUGAGAGACGGUCCAAACUCCUACGGGAGGCAGCAGUGGGGAAUAUUGGGCAAUGGGGGAAACCCUGACCCAGCGACGCUGCGUGAGGGAAGAAGGUUUUCGGAUUGUAAACCUCUGCUCUUGGUGAAGAGGGAAAGACGGUAGCCAAGGAGGAAGCCCCGGCUAACUACGUGCCAGCAGCCGCCGUAAAAC